rnacentral:rRNA from 1 species
GACGAACGCUGGCGGCGUGCCUAAUACAUGCAAGUUGAGCGCUGAAGGUUGGUACUUGUACCGACUGGAUGAGCAGCGAACGGGUGAGUAACGCGUGGGGAAUCUGCCUUUGAGCGGGGGACAACAUUUGGAAACGAAUGCUAAUACCGCAUAAAAACUUUAAACACAAGUUUUAAGUUUGAAAGAUGCAAUUGCAUCACUCAAAGAUGAUCCCGCGUUGUAUUAGCUAGUUGGUGAGGUAAAGGCUCACCAAGGCGAUGAUACAUAGCCGACCCGAGAGGGUGAUCGGCCACAUUGGGACUGAGACACGGCCCAAACUCCUACGGGAGGCAGCAGUAGGGAAUCUUCGGCAAUGGACGAAAGUCUGACCGAGCAACGCCGCGUGAGUGAAGAAGGUUUUCGGAUCGUAAAACUCUGUUGGUAGAGAAGAACGUUGGUGAGAGUGGAAAGCUCAUCAAGUGACGGUAACUACCCAGAAAGGGACGGCUAACUACGUG